UUACNGCUCAGUAACACGUAGUCAACCUGCCCUGGAGACCAGAAUAACCCCGGGAAACUGGGAUUAAUACUGGAUAGGUCAUCUCAUCUGGAAGGAGAGAUGGCUUAAAGGGGUGUGCGAGCUUCUUUCGUAUACUUGCUCCAGGAUGGGACUGCGACUGAUCAGGCUGUUGGCGGGGUAAUGGCCCACCAAACCAGUAACCAGUACGGGCCUUGAGAGAGGGGGCCCGGAGAUGGACACUGAGAGAAGGGUCCAGGUCCUACGGGGCGCAGCAGGCGCGAAACCUUCGCAAUGCGCGAAAGCGUGACGAGGUUAAUCCGAGUGGUUCCCGCUGAGGGAAUCUUUGUCGGCUUAAAAGGCCGCAUAG
rnacentral:rRNA from 1 species